UACGUAGGGUGCGAGCGUUAAUCGGAAUUACUGGGCGUAAAGCGUGCGCAGGCGGUUUUGUAAGCCAGAUGUGAAAUCCCCGGGCUUAACCUGGGAAUGGCAUUUGGGACUGCAAGGCUGGAGUACGGUAGAGGAGACUGGAAUUCCUGGUGUAGCAGUGAAAUGCGUAGAGAUCAGGAGGAAUACCGAUGGCGAAGGCAGGUCUCUGGGCUGAUACUGACGCUCAUGCACGAAAACGUGGGGAGCAAACAGG
rnacentral:rRNA from 1 species